AUACGUAGGGGGCGAGCGUUGUCCGGAAUGAUUGGGCGUAAAGGGCGCGUAGGCGGCGCGGUAAGUCUGGAGUGAAAGUCCUGCUUUCAAGGUGGGAAUUGCUUUGGAUACUGCCGCGCUUGAGUGCAGGAGAGGUUAUCGGAAUUCCCGGUGUAGCGGUGAAAUGCGUAGAGAUCGGGAGGAACACCAGUGGCGAAGGCGGGUAACUGGACUGAAACUGACGCUGAGGCGCGAAAGUGUGGGGAGCAAACAGGAUUAGAUACCCUGGUAGUCCACACUGUAAACGAUGAAUGCUAGGUGUAAGAGGUAUCGACCCCUUUUGUGCCGGAGUCAACACAAUAAGCAUUCCGCCUGGGGAGUACGGCCGCAAGGUUGAAACUCAAAGGAAUUGACGGGG
rnacentral:rRNA from 1 species